rnacentral:rRNA from 1 species
CGUGGAUAAUCUGCCUUAGAGUGGGGGAUAACUAGUCGAAAGAUUAGCUAAUACCGCAUAAGACCACAGUAGCUGCGGCUAUAGGGGUCAAAGGUUUUUCGCUCUAAGAUGAGUCCGCGUAAGAUUAGCUAGUUGGUGAGGUAACGGCUCACCAAGGCGACGAUCUUUAACUGGUCUGAGAGGAUGAUCAGUCACACUGGAACUGAGACACGGUCCAGACUCCUACGGGAGGCAGCAGUAGGGAAUAUUGCACAAUGGAGGAAACUCUGAUGCAGCGACGCCGCGUGAGUGAUGAAGGCCUUCGGGUCGUAAAGCUCUGUCGCAGGGGAAUAACACAAUGAAGGUACCCUGUAAGAAAGGAUCGGCUAACUUCGUGCCAGCAGCCGCGGUAAGACGAGGGAUCCUAGCGUUGUUCGGAAUCAUUGGGCGUAAAGCGGGUGUAGGUGGCUUUGUAAGUCGAGUGUGAAAGCCUGGGGCUCAACCCCAGAAGUGCAUUCGAUACUGCGAAGCUUGAGUGGUAGAGAGGUUAGUAGAAUUGUUGGUGUAGUGGUGAAAUACGUAGAUAUCAACAGGAAUACCGGAGGCGAAGGCGGCUAACUGGCUACACACUGACACUCAGACCCGAAAGUGCGGGGAUCAAACAGGAUUAGAUACCCUGGUAGUCCGC